CCUGGUUCCCAGGCCUCCACUCCUGGACUGGAGUCAACACCAUCGGGUCUCCGGCUCUCAGCCUGGGAACUGCACCCUGGCUCUCCUGGGGGUCCAGCCUGCAAGUGACUCAGCCUCCACAACUGUAGCUGCCUGUUCACCCCAGGAACACAUCCCUGCACUUUCCCACCACCUCUUGUCAGCAGUGACGACCUUUGAUGCGACCUAAAUAGGGAGGAGAUGCUCACUGAGUGGCUCAUGUGAACCUGCUCUUGACGGAGUGUGGGUUCUUGCCGGGGCAGACCCCGAAUCAAGGGCUGUGUGAAGCUUGUUUAUCUGGAAAGUGAUCCCGGGAA